rnacentral:rRNA from 1 species
UACGAAGGGUGCAAGCGUUACUCGGAAUUACUGGGCGUAAAGCGUGCGUAGGUGGUUUGUUAAGUCUGAUGUGAAAGCCCUGGGCUCAACCUGGGAAUUGCAUUGGAUACUGGCAGGCUAGAGUGCGGUAGAGGAUGGCGGAAUUCCCGGUGUAGCAGUGAAAUGCGUAGAGAUCGGGAGGAACAUCUGUGGCGAAGGCGGCCAUCUGGUCCAGCACUGACGCUGAGGCACGAAAGCGUGGGGAGCAAACAGG